GCCGGGAUGGUGGAAUUGGCAGACACGCCAGCUUGAGGGGCUGGUGGGAGCAAUCCUGUAGGGGUUCAAAUCCCCUUCCCGGCA
rnacentral:tRNA from 1 species